UGGAACAAAAGGAAGCUCAUGCAUCAGAAAAGGUGACUAAUAAACAUACCAGUAGAAUAUGGCUGCACAAAUACCAGAAUCUGAUCAGAUAAAACAGUUCAAGGGAUUUCUUGGAACCUACAAUAAACUUACAGAAACCUGCUUUUGGGAUUGCGUUAAAGACUUCACAACAAGAGAAGUAAAACCUGAAGAGACCACCUGUUCCGAACAUUGCUUACAGAAAUAUUUAAAAAUGACACGAAGAAUAUCCAUGAGAUUUCAGGAAUAUCAUAUUCAGCAGAAUGAAGCCCUGGCAGCCAAAGCAGGACUUCUUGGCCAACCACGAUAGAGAAGUCCUAAUGGAUGGACUUUUGAUGAAAGAUUGCCAGCAGGUGUUGUGAUGGAAAUGAGGAUUCAUCUGAUAGAAUCCCCUGAAAGCAGUAGCCACCAUAUUAAACUGUCUGUCAUAACUUUGGCAAAUGGAAACAACUGCAGAAACAAAAUUGCUAUUUACGGAGAAUAAUCAAAAUAGGAGGUCUUAUUGUUCAAUGAAAAUAAUAAGAUGCAACAUUUGUUGAGGCCUUAAGAUUCAGCAGCUUGGUAAUUUCAUUAGAAAAAUAAACCACUGUUU